CUCCCACAUAUUCUUGAUUUAUAUUCAUAUUUUAUUCUUAUCUUUAUCAUAAGGAUUUCUCCAUGUUGUAUAGACUUCAAACAAUUUUAUUCUAUGGCUGGACACUGUUGCAUCAUUUGGAUAGAACUUAAAUGUCCCACAGGAAAAAAAAAUUAGGUGCUUUCAACGUUUUGCUAGUUCAACACUGGCCUUGCCCAAGUACCAUGCGGAGACCUGGACCUCAGGAACUCCAACACACACGCCCUUUUCAGAAAUUUGUAAUUUCAUCAUUUCUUGACCAAAUGACUCCAACCCCAGAAAGGCACGAAUUUUCCACUGGGAUUUAUUCUCCCCUCCCCUUUGAUCUUACCCUAAGGAUCAAAUUCAAGCCAUACCGGAUGUGCCCAAAUCAUUUCCAUCUGACGCCCAGGACGACCCAGAAGGCCUGGCCUUGAGGAGCAGCUCCCAGUGAGAGCUAUUUGUGAAGGAACCAAGCUAGAACCACGUCAAUUGUUUCUGUUCAGCCUGGUCCUAGCCCCACUGGUAUGGUCUUACUGACUUUCUUCUGACAGCUGAGUUUUUAAAAUGGGCUGCUUUACAGUGUGGCCAUGGAUUAAAAUAAGAAAAAAGAAGCCCUGCAUUUCUAUUCUAUUUCCCUCCCACCCCCUCCCUUUCCAGCAUAUAAAUAAAGUGCUUCUCACAGAACAGAAGCUUACUGACAACAGAUGGGGAAACUGAGGCACACAGAGAUUGACUCAUGUGUCCAGUUCUGCUUAAUUUUUGUGUAACAAAUUAAGAGACACAGAGCUCUCUGUCCAGAACAAAACCCCGGGUAGUUAACGGGGUGUUCAAUCAAAAAGAGAACACUGGGCUUUUAUUUUUAUUUACUUAUUUCUUAAGAACCCCUUUGUGGCUGUUUUUGGGAAAAGUGAUUGGAGCCCACCUGCCUGAUCCCAGGUUUUCACUGCUCCCCAAGACACAGAAAGAGAGCUGUUUAGUUCUGUAUUUACCUCCACUUUGGCCAGAUGUGAUCAGACAAAACAUGCCUGGCAGAAAGGAUUUCCAGCUGCUCCCGAAGGCAGCUAUAGUAAUUUCAAGGGUAGAAGUUGGACACACUCGUGUUUACCAGGGAGGUCAGUGUCUAAACUGAAAGGAGACAGGGAGGUGUGACUGACAGCCUCAGGCACUGGGCAAGACGUACACAAAAUCCUGCCUCUGCUCAAGGGGGCUGGGGGAGGGG
rnacentral:lncRNA from 1 species